rnacentral:rRNA from 1 species
AGAACGAACGCUGGCGGCAGGCUUAACACAUGCAAGUCGAACGCGUGUAGCAAUACACGAGUGGCGCACGGGUGAGUAACGCGUGGGAACAUCCCUUUCAGUUCGGAAUAACCUCGGGAAACUGAGGCUAAUACCGGAUAUUCUCUACGGAGGAAAGAUUUAUCGCUGAAGGAUUGGCCCGCGUCAGAUUAGCUAGUUGGUGGGGUAACGGCCUACCAAGGCUCCGAUCUGUAGCUGGUCUGAGAGGACGACCAGCCACACUGGAACUGAGACACGGUCCAGACUCCUACGGGAGGCAGCAGUGGGGAAUAUUGGACAAUGGGCGAAAGCCUGAUCCAGCCAUGCCGCGUGAGUGAUGAAGGCCUUAGGGUUGUAAAGCUCUUUGCCAGGGAAGAUAAUGACGGUACCUGGAGAAUAAGCACCGGCUAACUUCGUGCCAGCAGCCGC